rnacentral:lncRNA from 1 species
AACUCGGAGGGGAGUGCUUUCAGGGGUGCUUCAGCAGCAGUGCAAUGACGAGCAUGCACAGGAUUGAUUGUAUUUUCCUUGGAUGGCUUUCUUGAGCCUUGGAAAUCUGGCUCACUGGGAAUUCUAGGCUUCUGUUGUCCCUUGCUUCCUAUCUCUGCAAUUAUAAAGAUGCACACACACAAAAGAGAAAGAGGAGCAGAAAGAGUGAAGAAAACAUGUCCAUUUAUCAGAAAAUAAAUAUACAAGUACAAUAGAAGAAAAAGGGGUAGAAAACAUUUUGAAGAUUUAGAAAGGUAGAAGAAAAGGGGGUAGAAAACAUUUUGAAGAUUUAGAAAGAUCAUAUUUUUCCAAGUUGGGGAACUAUGGAAGGGUUGAGACGUUUUUCUGUGUAGUGUCUGGUGGACGGCUCAGAUGAUGGCAGUUAAUGAAGAGGUGUUUCCUGCAAGAAAGACCAAAAGCACAAUGAUGCCUUUCUUUUUACUCACAUUUGGUGACAUCCAUAGUGAGAAACAGCAGUUCCACUGUCCAACACCAGGAAAUGUUCUGACUGCUUCACCACUCCAACUAAUACUUACAGAGGUGUGGCCUAUUCCCACUUGUACUGGGGGCUUUAGAAUCCGACUCCUUACAUUCCUAAGACUAAAAGACAUUUUGUGCUAUUUUAUGUUCUGAGAAGGAUUGAUUACCACAAAGACAGAUCUAUAGAGAAUGUGAGUGGAAACUAUACGAGCUGCUAAUGGGACAAGGCAUUUAAGAAUCAUCCGAGUUCUUCUCUUCUUGCUGGCUGGAGGCAUGCCCUCAGAUAUUUUAAUCUUUAUGAAACAUUUGAAGACCUCGAGAAAGUACAAUACCCUUGGUUCUACACAGAUGCUGUCAUGAAUUCAUCUUAUAUCAGUUUCAUAAAUCUGAGAAAACAAACUAGAGAGAAGGCAACACAUAUUUCAUUUUAGCUGUAAGCAACUUCCAUUGUGAAUCAAGGAUUCAUUCAAAAUACAUCUGGUAUGAGGUUUUGCUUUUCACAGAAUGGCAACAUCUAACCUCAUCACACAGAAUCCAUGUAGUCAAAUACCAUUGAGGAUAGUUGAGUGGUCACUAUGUUGUAAUAUCAGACAAAGAUGACAGUGAAUCUGCAAAAGAAGAAAGCAUUCUGAGGACCACUGAUUCCAGAGCAGGUGAAGGUAAGAGUAUAUUUCAAAACAGAACACAAAAGAAUCUAUGCUCACAGGCUAUAUUUCGAAGGAUAGAUUUUUCAAAAAUCUUUCCAAUAAUUAAUAAUCAUGGGAUUUAGAGUUCUAAAACUAUGUUUCUACCCAUUAUAUGCAUAGAGUAAAACUAUUAAACAAUUGCUAGGUGUCUAAUUUAUGCUAUGAGUAAUCAGAAUGUUGAGAAAAUAACUUUCAUUGGAUAUAAUCAUAAAGCAACAUUAUUUCCUAAACUGCAUUGGGGGAGUUCUUUCUUGGGUACUAGAUACAAACAGGCAGUUCCAUGCCUUUGCAGAUAAUUCUUAGAUUAAAUACAAAUAAUAUUAAUCCAGGCUGGGCGCGGUGGCUCAUGCCUGUAAUCCCAGCACUUUGGGAGGCCGAGG